rnacentral:rRNA from 1 species
GGAUUAGAUACCCUGGUAGUCCACGCUGUAAACGAUGAGUACUAGCUAUUAGAGUCGGUGUAAAGGCUUUAGUGGCAUAGCUAACGCAAUAAGUACUCCGCCUGGGGACUACGGCCGCAAGGCUAAAACUCAAAGGAAUUGACGGGGACCCGCACAAGCGGUGGAGCAUGUGGUUUAAUUCGAUGCAACGCGAAAAACCUUACCUGGUCUUGACAUCCACAGAAUUUUCCAGAAAUGGAUUAGUGCCUUCGGGAACUGUGUGACAGGUGCUGCAUGGCUGUCGUCAGCUCGUGCCG